rnacentral:rRNA from 1 species
CGGACGGGUGAGUAACGCGUGGAAAACCUGCCGUAUACUGGGGGAUAACACUUAGAAAUAGGUGCUAAUACCGCAUAAGCGCACAGCUUCGCAUGAAGCGGUGUGAAAAACUCUGGUGGUAUACGAUGGUUCCGCGUCUGAUUAGCUAGUUGGUGGGGUAAUGGCCUACCAAGGCAACGAUCAGUAGCCGGCCUGAGAGGGUGAACGGCCGCAUUGGGACUGAGACACGGCCCAAACUCCUACGGAAGGCAGCAG